AAAGGAUCUCUUCUGGAGAACCCUCCUCUGGAGUUUUGCAGUGAGUCCAGGAUGCAGAUGUCAUUCUUGGAACCCUGAACUUCAUUUUCAAAGGGACGUCCCACCAUUGAAAGUGUUCUGCUCAUGAGCUGCAUAGCAGAAAAGGGAAGAAGACUGUUACAAUAUCCUUUGUCAGACUCAAGUUUGACUAAAUUAACAACAUCAACAGCCAUGACAGUUCCUGUGGAGCUUAUAACACCAAAAGACAAUGCAGUCCAGAAACACCAAGACGUAUGGCAGCUAAAAGACCACAAGGAGAUAAGAGCAUGAGACUUAGGAAAAGAUGCUAAAAGAAUACAAUUGGAACAUUAGAAAUUAUGGUUUGGAACCAAUGUUAGAGUUAAUUUCUUUUCUGGCAGUCUGUAUGAUGCUCUAUUUCAGCAUAGGUAAUACGUUGCUGUUUGGUGAACAGCAUCUGCACAACCCCAAAGCAUUCUCUGUUUCUCAUUAUGCCCCAGGGUAGUAGGCUGGGAUGGUUAAA